UUUUUUUCAAUUUUAUAGAUGACAUAGAUGGGAUGGCUACUGGAUCACAGCAACUCCCUGAUGCUUCCACAUUGCGAGAUGACCAGGGGAAUGAUGCCUGUGUGACUUCUGGUUCACCUCCUGUCCCUGACUCAGUUACUAAAGGUUUACGUGUUUCAUCAAGGCGGUGUGUGAAGAGACCAUGGUCUGAGGAGGAGAUAGGAGCGGUGAUGAAACAUAUGAAGCCUUUUAUUGAAAACGGUAUCACUGUCACCAACCAGCAGUGUCUGAAGUGCAAAGAAAAGGAACAACCUAUCUUGGAGACGAGAUCUAUUCAAAACAUUCGAGAUUUUGUGCGCAACAGAGGACUGGCCUUUAAAAAAAAUAAAUAA
rnacentral:lncRNA from 1 species